rnacentral:rRNA from 1 species
AGUGAACGCUGGCGGUAGGCCUAACACAUGCAAGUCGAACGGGAGCACAGUAAGAGCUUGCUCUUACGGGGGGCGAGUCGCGGACGGGUGAGGUAUACAUCGGAACCUACUUUUUCGUGGGGGAUAACGUAGGCAAACGUACGCUAAUACCGCAUACGACCUACGGGUGAAAGCGGGGGAUCCUCGGACCUUGCGCGAUUGGAUGAGCCGAUGUCGGAUUAGAGAGUUGGCGGGGGUAAGGCCCACUAAGGCGACGAGCCGUAGCUGGUCUGAGAGGAUGAUCAGACACACUGGGACUGAAGCAGCGUCCAGACUCCUACGGGAGGAAGCAGUGGGGAACAUUGGGCGAUGGGCGCAAGCAUGAUCCAGCCAUACCGCGAGGGUGGAGGAGGCCUUCGGGUUGGAAAGCAAAUUUGUUGGGAAAGAAAAGCAGCAGGUUAAUACCAAGAUGUUCUGACGGUACCCGAAGAAUAAGCACCGGCUAACUUCGUG